GCCCUCAUAGCUCAGGUGGAUAGAGCGUCUGCCUCCUAAGCAGAAGGCCCCAGGUUCGAGUCCUGGUGGGGGCA
rnacentral:tRNA from 1 species